UGACCGUACACCUCAUGUCAUACAAUCUCUAGCUGAAUGUACACAUCAUGUCAUACGAUCUCUAGCUGACUGUACACAUUAUGUCAUACAAUCUUUAGCUGACUGUACACCUUAUGUCAUACAAUCUCUAGCUGACUGUACACCUUAGGUGUACAAUCUCCGAGAGACUACACCUGAUGUCAAACAAUCUCUGAGAGACUGUACACCUCAUGUCAUACAAUCUCUAGCUGAAUGUACACAUCAUGUCAUACAAUCUUUAGCUGAAUGUACACAUCAUGUCAUACGAUCUCUAGCUGACUGUACACAUUAUGUCAUACAAUCUUUAGCUGACUGUACACCUUAUGUCAUACAAUCUCUAGCUGACUGUACACCUUAGGUCAUAAAAUCUCUAGCUGACUGUACACCUUAGGUCAUACAAUCUCUAGCUGACUGUGCACCAUAGGUCAUAAAAUCUCUAGCUGACUGUACACCUUAGGUCAUACAAUCUCUAGCUGACUGUACACCUCAUGUCAUACAAUCUCUAGCUGACUGUGCACCUUAGGUCAUGCAGUCUCUAGCUGACUGUACACCUUAGGUGUACAAUCUCUGAGAGACUGUACACUUCAUGUCAUACAAUCUGUGAGAGACUGUACACUUCAUGUCAUACAAUCUCUGAGAGACUGUACACUUCAUGUCAUACAAUCUCUGAGAGACUGUAACUUCAUGUCAUACAAUCUCUGAGAGACUGUAACUUCAUGUCAUACAAUCUCUGAGAGACUGUACACUUCAUGUCAUACAAUCUCUGAGAGACUGUAACUUCAUGUCAUACAAUCUCUGAGAGACUGUACACUUCAUGUCAUACAAUCUCUGAGAGACUGUACACUUCAUGUCAUACAAUCUCUGAGAGAUUGUAACUUCAUGUCAUACAAUCUCUGAGAGACUGUACACUUCAUGUCAUACAAUCUCUGAGAGACUGUACACUUCAUGUCAUACAAUCUCUGAGAGAUUGUAACUUCAUGUCAUACAAUCUCUGAGAGACUGUACACUUCAUGUCAUACAAUCUGUGAGAGACUACACUUCAUGUCAUACAAUCAAUGAUAGACCUUGUACAGCCUAUAUCACACAAUCUCAAGCUGACAUUCUUAUGAGAGUCAUAGAAUUCAGUCAAUAUGUGGUGCAAUUGCACAUUUAAAUUAAUAACUGAAUCAUUAUACACUGUGCAAUGGGAAUUGAAAAUAAACUAUUUUCAUCAUA